rnacentral:rRNA from 1 species
GACGAACGCUGGCGGCGUGCUUAACACAUGCAAGUCGAACGAUGAAGAAAAGAAUUGAAGCUUCGGCAGAAAUUCAUUUCGGAUUAGUGGCAGACGGGUGAGUAACGCGUGAGCAACCUACCUCUUACAAAGGGAUAGCCUCGGGAAACCGGGAUUAAUACCAUAUAACAUUGCGACGAAGCAUUUCGAUGCAAUCAAAGCUACGGCGGUAAGAGAUGGGCUCGCGUCCCAUUAACCAGAUGGUGAGAUAACGGCUCACCAUAGUAACGAUGGGUAACCGGCCUGAGAGGGUGAACGGUCACACUGGAACUGAGACACGGUCCAGACUCCUACGGGAGGCAGCAGUGGGGAAUAUUGCACAAUGGAGGGAACUCUGAUGCAGCGACGCCGCGUGAGUGAUGAAGGAAUUCGUUUCGUAAAACUCUGUUCUAUGGGAAGAAAAGGACUGUACCAUAGGAGAAAGCUCCGGCUAAAUACGUG